rnacentral:rRNA from 1 species
CGGUCAAGUUACAAAGGGCAUACGGUGGAUGCCUUGGCGCAUUGGGCCGACGAAGGACGCGGCAAGCUGCGAAAAGCCACGGGGAGCCGCAAACAGGCAUCGAUCCGUGGAUCUCCGAAUGGGGCAACCCGGCGGGGCAAACCCCCGUCAUUCUGCACUGAAUACAUAGGUGCAGGAAGGGCACCCGGGGAACUGAAACAUCUUAGUACCCGGAGGAAAAGAAAGCAACAGCGAACCCCCCAGUAGCGGCGAGCGAACAGGGGCGGGCCUAAACCGGAGCUGCAUGCAGCUCCGGGGUUGAGGGACUCCCACAAGCGAACAUGCAGUUAACCGAAGCGGGCUGGAAAGCCCCGUCACAGAAGGCAACAACCCUGUAGGUAAAAACAAGCAUGCAAGCGGGGAGGAUCCCAAGUACCGCGGGACACGUGGAACCCCGCGGGAAUCCGGGAGGACCACCUUCCAAGGCUGAAUACCCGAUGCGACCGAUAGUGAACCAGUACCGAGAGGGAAAGGUGAAAAGCACCCCGGGAGGGGAGUGAAAAAGCACCUGAAACCGUAUGCCUACAAACAGUCAAAGCCCGUUAAACGGGUGAUGGCGUACUUUUUGUAGAACGGACCGGCGAGUUGCAUCCAGCGGGCGAGGUUAAGGCAAGAAAGCCGGAGCCGGAGUGAAAGCGAGCCUGAAAAGGGCGAAAAGUCCGUUGGAGCAGACCCGAAACCGGGUGAUCUACCCAUGUUCAGAGUGAAGCUAAAGUAAAAUUUAGUGGAGGCUCGAACCAACCGUCGUUGAAAAGGCGGUGGAUGAAAUGUGGGUAGGGGUGAAAUGCCAAUCGAACCCGGAAAUAGCUGGUUCUCCCCGAAAUAGCUUUAGGGCUAGCCUCAAAGCAAAGCCGCGGAGGUAGAGCACUGACUGGGCUAGGGGCCUUCACCGGUUACCGAACCCAAUCAAACUCCGAAUGCCGCCGGUUUGAUCUUUGGGAGUCAGACUGCGGGUGCUAAGAUUCGUAGUCGAGAGGGAAACAGCCCGGACCGCCGGCUAAGGUCCCCAAGCGACGCUAAGUGGAAAAGGAUGUGGGGUUGCCCGGACAACCAGGAUGUUGGCUUAGAAGCAGCCACCAUUCAAAGAGUGCGUAAUAGCUCACUGGUCAAGUGACCCUGCGCCGAAAAUGAAACGGGGCUCAAGCGUUGCACCGAAGCCGCGG